GUUAGUUUAGCCAAGUGUUUGUUAAUUUUACUUUUUCCAGAAAAACAACUCGGGUGCGAGAGGCCUACGUUGCAUCACCACUGGAGGCCAGUAGUUCCCAAUCAGCCUGGAAAGAAUACCUCUUGUAACCACUAAUUUUAAUAUAUGAUAUGACACAUGAAUUCAGUUUUUUCUACUUGUUUAUUUUUAUAUGGUUACAAAUAUGUCACAUCCAUUGCUUAAAAAGAAAAUCUUCAAUCGUUUGUUGAAAUAUUAUGCAUUUUUAAAUACAUUGCUUUUUCAAGAUUGUCAAAAAUCUGUUCUCAAUAUAUGUGUUCAUUUAUAUUUGGACUCUAUUUUCUUUUGAUCCAUUUAAUUGAUCACAUACCAAAGCUCUGUUGUGGCCAUUACAACUCUGUGAUUGUUCUUUAAAUCAGGUGGAGCUAGCCCUCCAAUUCUGCACUUCGUUAUACAGGCAUUUUGGUUAUGCUAGUUCAUGUUAAUUUUAGAAUCAGCUGCCAUUUUCUACCAACGAUGCAUGCUGAAAUUUUGAGUCGGAUUGCAUUGAAUUCAUAGAUCAAAUUAGGGGAAAUGAACAUCUCAACAAUAUUCUUACACAUGAGCAAACAAUAUCUUUCCAGUUAUUAGGCCUGCACUAUGUUCUCCGUGAAAUAUGCUCUAAUUUUCAGUCAUAUUCACAUUUAUGGAUUUUAUACACUUGACAUUAUUGUAAAUGGUAUUCCUUUUACAUUUAAAUUCUGCCGUGCAAUUGCAUAAAUACAAUUUAUUUUUGCAUAUUGAUCUUAUAUCCUGCUAGAAACAAAUGCUUUUUGGAUUCAGGUUUGAUCGGCCAGUGGCAAUAUCUUUGGAAACUUGCGUAUUUACCAGGUGUGUGCAUCCUGUUGUGUUGAUCCCUCUCCCCUCCCAGAAAAGUCAUUGUAGGCCCAAGUCGAUGAAGGGACAGAUUGUGAAAGAACAGACGCAGAGCAUGGAAUAAGUAUGCAGUGCCCACUGAAUCAAAAACUUUGCUGAAGUUGCUUUUCUGCGAUUGUCUAACAUUCCUCUGAGUCACCUUAUCUGCUGCUUAAAAGCCCCAAAGCAUUUUCUUAACUGUCUUGUGGCCAUUGUUAUAAACUCUGUUCUGCUCUUCCUGUGUCAACUACCACACAGUCUGUUUCAUUGCAUGGCCCUAAAGGCAGAGCCAUUUUUCCAACUUUAAGUGCACUAAGGGUAUCCUGUUUCUACAAAACCAGUGGAUGUUAGUGGUUCUCUUAGGGAUUUUUUUUUCUUUUUUGUCAUAUAAGGCCAUAAUUGGAGUAAUGUGAAAAAUAUUUUUUCCUCCAGAAGUUAUUAGAUGCUGCUAUAUCCAAUAUUUGUUCUAUCAGUACACUAUAAUGUAUCCCAGCUAUGCAUUUUAUAUUUCCUAAAACUUCACUUCUGAGAAGGCCCUUCACGAGUUUUUAGAAAUUCAUGGCCCACCCAGCAGCAUUACUAAGUCUUUUGGAGUCUAGCCUCAUGGUCUUUCUGUUGAUUUUCCUGCUGUCAACAUGUAAUCUGUGAAAUGAAACAAAGGAGAGGAUCCAGGCCAAGACUUGGCAACAUUCACUUAUGACAGUCGGCAGUCAGACACUAUGUGCAGAGAUCCUCCAGAUCCUGUUUGACCAGCAUCUUUGGGAGGUUAAGAGCCCAGCCCUGUCAGAACCACUAUUCAUUAUCAUUGACCCUUUCACCAGAAUGUGUGUCGGCUACUGAUUUUCUCACCUCCAGGCAACUCAGGCUGAGCUGAGAGCAGAAAUCUUAAGCUCUUGUCACUAAGGACUCUUCUGUGCUUCCUCUGUAUCACUCGCCAUAACUAGCAUAAUGCUUUACUCACAGGGGCUCAGGAAAUGCACUUGUUGAGCUCAACAAAUUGAGAAUCCAAGUUGCCUGAUAAGCAGAGAUGUUAUGGUGUAGAGAAUUGGAUAGGGUAAGCAGAGGAACAAAACAGUAUGUCAUUUUGUUGUUAUUGUUGUUGUUGUUGUUAGAGUACAAAAAUUGUGACUGGCAACUGCUGGGGAAUCCUAAGGCAGGACUUUAGUCCCUAACUCUCCUACAUUCUCACUACAUUCAUGGAAGCUGCUUUACUCCUUUCCACCUUAGGUAUUUCCUCUAUAAUUAGAGGAUAAAAUACACAAUUUCUAAAUGCUAGUACUAUGACUGAUAUAGAAUUUAUUUUGGA
rnacentral:lncRNA from 1 species